rnacentral:rRNA from 1 species
AUUUGUCUGGUUAAUUUCCGAUAACGAACGAGACCUUAACCUGCUAACUAGAUCCAAUUAUCCGAUUUUUGCGAUCUUCUUAGAGGGACUAUGUAAUAAAAAUACAUGGAAGUUUGAGGCAAUAACAGGUCAGUGAUGCCCUUAUAUGUCCUGGGCUGCACGCGUGCUACACUGAUGCAUACAACAAGUGCCUAACCAGACAUGGUAUGGUAAUCUCUAAUAUGCAUCGUGAUGGGGAUAGAUCUUUGCAAUUAUAGAUCUUGAACGAGGAAUUCCUAGUAAGUGCAAGUCAUCAUCUUGCAUUGAUUAUGUCCCUGCCCUUUGUACACACCGCCCGUCGCUCCUACCGAUACCGGGUGAUCCGGUGAACCUUUUGGACUCAUUUGGGAAAGAUAAGUAAACCAUAUCACCUAGAGGAAGGAGAAGUCGUAACAAGGUUUCCGUAGGUGAACCUGCRGAAGGAUCA